rnacentral:rRNA from 1 species
CAGGUGGUGCAUGGUUGUCGUCAGCUCGUGUCGUGAGAUGUUGGGUUAAGUCCCGCAACGAGCGCAACCCCUAUUGUUAGUUGCCAUCAUUUAGUUGGGCACUCUAGCGAGACUGCCGGUAAUAAACCGGAGGAAGGUGGGGAUGACGUCAAAUCAUCAUGCCCCUUAUGACCUGGGCUACACACGUGCUACAAUGGCUGGUACAACGAGUCGCAAGCCGGUGACGGCAAGCUAAUCUCUUAAAGCCAGUCUCAGUUCGGAUUGUAGGCUGCAACUCGCCUACAUGAAGUCGGAAUCGCUAGUAAUCGCGGAUCAGCACGCCGCGGUGAAUACGUUCCCGGGCCUUGUACACACCGCCCGUCACACCACGAGAGUUUGUAACACCCGAAGUCGGUGAGGUAACCGUAAGGAGCCAGCCGCCUAAGGUGGGAUAGAUGAUUGGGGUGAAGUCGUAACAAGGUAGCCGUAUCGGAAGGUGCGGCUGGAUCACCUCCUUUCUAAGGA